CUCAGUGAAUGACAGUGCAGCUAUUUCAGAGCUUAAAAAAUUUUUUUGGUAAACUUUGGCUAAAUUUGGAAAGCAUAUUGAGUUUGAAUGUAAGAAAAAAAAUGAUAUGAAGAACUACAGAGGAAGAUAUUCCAGUAAUAUAUGCCUGAGACUUGUGGAAACAUUAAGUAGUGAAAAAAAAGACUGUAAGGCUUCUCUUUUGCCUCAUGUUUAGAAAUGCAAUAUCCUAGUAAUUGAAGGUUGUGAUUAACUGAACAUUUGGUAUGUACAGGGAAACAAAUGAAUUCUAAGUAAUUAAUCUAGUUUUUCUACAUUCCACUUUGACUUAGGAAACAAGCCUUAAAAAUAGUCCUCCAGGAGAUUUUACAGCUGUCAGGAUAUUCAGCUUUUCUAUUCAUAUGCUCUCUUGCUUCUCAUACAUCUAAAGCAUACAUCCAGAGUGUACAAAGUAUGAGACCAUAUUAAUUGAACAGACAAUUUAGCACAGUCAUUAAGACAAUGAGCUCUGGCACCAAAAUGCUUAGGUUUUUACUCCUACCUGGCUUUACCUCUUAAUAGCUGUAUGACCUUGAGCAGGUACUUAACCUCUCUUCUAUAAAAAUGAUGAAAAUAAUACUUAUUGGGGUGUUAUGAGAAUGUAGUGAGUUAGUACAUGAGAAGUUCCUGGAAGGCAUCUGGCACAUUUAAUGCAUACACACACACACACACACACACACACACACAUAUGUUUUAACUGUCAUUGAUUUGGUCAGCAUUGCCCCCUAGCACAGGCCCAUAUUUAAUCACCAAAGCAAGAUUGUUUCUAAUGAGCACACACCAUGUUUUCUCACAGGAAAUAGUUCCACAUGUGGAAGAGUCUAAACAAUGAGAGUUCAACUCUGAGAAAUCUUGGCUAACCCUUAAUUUACCAGAAUAUUAUUCAUAGAACAGUAUUUCUCAAGAUUAAUCAAUGAGGUAAUUUGACAGUGAUCAGCUUUCAAAGAUUUAAAGUAACUUUACCACUCCCAUACUGUUUAUAAACAUUAUUUUCUCUUUUACUUGGGAAGCAGUUCAGUAUCUUACAAUGUUUUGGCAUCAUAAGUGCAGUUUAGCAUUUUGCAAUGCAAUAAAUAUAUAAAGUUAUACAAAGUUAGACUGCAUGAGUAUUUAUCCUAAGGAGAAAGUAUGAAUUAAAGGCUUCAGUUUUUUGGUGUCUGAGUAGAAUACAGGAGGUCUUACGUUGUCCCAUGUUGUCUCUUAAGGUUGGGAUAGGAAGUGCUCGCUCUCACACUAAGUGACCCUCGGUCUGACUAGCUGGACUACUUGGUUAGGAUCAAAAAAAGUCCACAUUGUUAAGAGAAAUAACACACUCUUGAAAAAGACUGAGGGAAAAACCAUCCUUCCAGUGUAGGCUACUAACCUACGAAAGAAUAGAGCAGCUCCUUACAGCUAGGAAAUGAGAAAGUCAAGAAGGGAGAAAAAACUUAAGAAGAAAGGCAGAGGUGAUGAGUGGCAGAGAGAAAAUGAAAGCAAAAGACAAAACGAGAAGAGAACUAACAAAAACAUUUGUAUUGCUCUGUCAUGUCUUGCACAUUGUCCUUGUUCAUCUUCAGACCUGUCAGAUUGGCAAUCUGGGUCUUACAGCCAAGUUACCUAAAGAAAGAAUUGGAUUUUAUUAAUUUGGCAAGUAAUGAACACAAAUAUUCUGUGCCAAGUGUCGGAGCUACAAUUAAACAACUGUCCCUGACCUCAUAGAGUUUCCAUUUUACUUCAAAGAAGUUCAGGGAUUUGUAAAUGACUGGUAAAUAAAAAGCAAGAUCUAGACCUUGGUUCUAAACCCCUGUUCUUUUCCCUCUGUGCUAUUCAGACAGGUUGCAGCCAUAUUUCAAAUAGUUCUGCAAGAGAAUUGAAUCCCAAUAAUCUGUGUUUGAGGAUUCAGAAUAAAUUAUUGCUUCCCUUUAAAGUUUUUUUUUUAUCUAAUUAAACACUAUUAAACAUUGUAUUUUCUCAUGUUAGAAUCUUCAAGUUUCAUAGCAUCCAAUUUCUGCCUCCCUCUUGUCUGAGACAACAUGAAGUAAAGGUAAAUUGAAUUAAAAGCUUUCCACUUUCCUGUUGGAAAGGCAAUCCUCAUUCUAAGACUCUGAGGAAACAGUGCACUAGGUUUAAAUUUCAACAAAGCAUUUUUCAGAAUCUUAUGGUGUUCUUUUGAAUAUGGAAAUUUGAGCUGAAUGAUGGUACUGUUAAUUGAUGUCAUGUAUUUGUCAAGUAUUAAGUGCAAAUCAGGUGCUGGGAACCGGUAACACAUGUUAAAAAAGCAAGGACUCUGACCUCAAGAUGUUUAAACGUAAAACAAUGCAGUAAGAAAACUGCUCUAAAAAGUCCUAUGUGCAAAGGGUGGAGGAAACAUGAAAGUUUCUAGUCUAUUCAAAGGGUCACCAGUAAUGCAUCGGGGCCCUUACUGGGAUUUGAAUGAGAACAUUUGAUUUAAGCAAGCUCAUUGAAUUUAUAUAGACAUGAAGCUGACAAGGAUCCCUAAUGCUUUGAUGAUAAACUGCAUUUAACAAGUAUUUAUUAAGCACCUAUUGCUUGCCAGACACUGUACUUAGAAUUGAGCUAUUCUUUAAUAGAUCGGAUUAAUGGACCAAGUUGAACAAGCUAAAAAUUAAUAAAGUCUUGAAAUGAUAGACUGCUAAAGCUAGAAGAGACAAUUGUGACUUAUAGUUUUUAGUCACCUGGAUGUUCACCAUGAGUCAGUGCAAUGAUUAACUGCCAAAUUCAAUGCUGUUCUGUAGAAAUACAAUGUGAGCCACAGGUAUAUAAAUUUAAGUGUUAUAGCAAACACAUUAAAAGUAAAAACCAGGUGAAAUUAAUUUUAAUGUUUUUUUUUUAACCCAUUGUAUCCAAAAUAUUUCAUGUGUGACCAGUAUGAGAAAUUAAUGAGGGGCUCCUGGGUGGCUCAGUCAGCUAAGCAUCUGGUUUCAGCUCAGGGCAUGAUCUCGCAGUUUGUGAGUUCAAGCCCUUCAUCAGGCUCUGUGCUGACAGCUCAGAACCUGGAGCCUGCUUCACACUCUGUGUCUCCCUCUCUCUCUGCCCUCCCUGGCUCACGCUGUGCCUCUCUCUCUCAAAAGUAAACAUUAAAAAAAUUUUUUUAAAUUUAUGAGAUAUUUUGUAUUCGUGUGGAUUUUGCACUUUAUAAAAUAUACACAGUUUUGAACUAGCUGUAUUUCAGGUGCUUAAUCACCCCAUGUGACUGGUGGCUACCAUGCUGGACAGUAUAGCUCUAUAUUCUCCUGUAUAAAUUCACAGGUUGUUUAAUGUUUACUUCAGUUCUCAGCAGUGUAUAUUAUGAUGCAAAGCAGAUGAUGUGUUCAAAGACAGAUUUCAGAAUGCUAUUAAAAUGUUUGAAACCAUCAUGUGAAAGAGGGAUUAGACUCAGAAUGGUAGAUGUAUUUUGCGUUACUUGUCAAUUCUGAGUUGAGUUGUGGUUUAAUAGCGCUUUAAGACCCGAUGCUGAAUCUGCUCUUUGAGUGCAUUCACCUAAGGAGAGAUCAGCUGUGGCCAGACACUUGCCAUCACUGAAGUAGACUUAAUCCAUAUGGUUCCAGAAGGCAGGAGCACUGAAUAGAAUUUACAUGGGAACAGAGUUAGGUUUAACGUUAAAGAGAACUCUUCUAAUCAGAACUACCCCUGAGUUGAAUAAGCUCCCCCCAAGAAGUAGCUAAUUUCCUGUCACCGAAUGUGCAGAGAAGGGUUGUGCAGACUCUCUUCAGAUGUUCUAUAAAUUCAAGUGUGAGAUGAAAGAAGUGGACUAGGUAAACUUUUACAGUCUCAUCUGACUAAAAUUCUGUGUUUGGCCUUAAAUGGGUGUGGUGGGAAGGCCUACCAAUUUCAAACCCUUAGAAUAGCCCUUUCAAUCAACCUGGCUUUGUCCCAACCUCAAAUACGCCAGAGCCUUAUAUAAUGAUUUGUACUGUAGCAAGUUUUCCAAAGUGUCUUAAUUUCCUUCCUAUACAAUACUGCCUACACCCCAAACUAAACCUAAAAUAACAUUCGUCUCUGCCUAUACCACACACACACCCUAGCCUUUUAGUUGGCUCCAUGGCAGACAUUGCUGCCAGGAAAAAAGGUUUCACUGGUAAUACAUAAAGCUCAGGGUAUUCAGUCCCUGGGUUUCUUUAUCUCCACCGGCCACCCAAUAACUCCAUAUAUACUAUGGGUAACAAAUUAUAGAACCCAAUUGUCAACACUGUUGUUACAGUCGCAAAGUAAAGUGUGUUUUGAUGGUGAAACUUCAUUUUUAGAAGAUGGAUUUGUCCAGUGUGGAAAAAUAGAUGUAACCCAAACUAUGAAGUCAGCUAUGAUUAGGCUCUUAACCUUAUUUUAAAAUUGCUUAGUGGUUGCUGCCUUGGCAUAUCUGGCUGUUAGCUAUACAGUUAUUAUACACACAGAUUAUGAAGUAAUAAAAGUUGACAGUGUUUUUCUUUCCUUGAUAA